ensembl:lncRNA
CACCGACAAAGUCUUGGGAAUCUUUCCUGAUCUUCAGAGUCUAAAUGCCAAGAGUGAGUGGGUUAAAUGUGCAAGGUGUUCAUUGGAGAGGAAACCCCAGUGGAGGACCCAGGAAGGAAUGGGAGUCUCAAAAUGGGAAAAAACAGACAACCACCAGGACAUGAAGAACUCAAGUCCAACUAAUCAGGAGACUUUCUGCUGGAUAGCUUCCAUAUAGCCAGAAAGUGCUAUGCACAUAACUGGGGAAGAAAAGGCAUCACCAAUCUUACCAAGAUGUGAACUCUGAGAGCUGUGUCACCAAUCUGCCAGGCGAGACAAUCUGAGUGUCCACAGUCUAUGAUGUUGUGCUACUGGCAACAGAAAAGGGAUGAAUACCAAGGCCUACAGAAUGUCUUUGAACUCAGAAGACUCCACAAUCCCAUCCACCUCUCCGGAAUGAGUAAGCCAUUGACUGACAAGUCACCGCGGUGCUAUCUAUAACUGACUUAAAAUGAGGGCAUGAGACCCAUCUUCUUAGACUACCCACAGUGGGUCUGAGGAGUUCAUUUUCUAGAAAAAAAAAAAAAAGCUAUGGUUACCAUGUUUAUAUACUGCAAAUAUGGUCACAUUUCAAACUUGUAUUCUUUUUUUGUCGUCACAACUUAUCAUGAAAGGAAAUCUGUGAUCUUAGCUAAUUCGGAUGUUAAUAAUGCUUACUCAAAAGCCCUUCAUCAUUUAGAUUUAGCUUGACAUGUUCUCAAAAAUUUUUAAUAAUUAUCAUUUAAGCUAAAAGGUAAACAUUUUGUUUGAUUGUGAACCUUGCCUUUAAUGAUUGAGCCAUCUCUCCAGCUAUGCCUAAGGCCCACUGUACUAUUUCCAUAAUCCAUGAAAUAUUAUUAAUAGGUAAAUUACCAGUGUUUACAUUUUCAAUGUUUUAAUUGCAAUUGGUAUAGUUAAAUUGUUCUAAUAACAAUUUUUAUUACAAGUUAGAGGCCAUUAUUCCUUUGAUAGUCUAAUAAGCAAACAAAAGAGAAUAUGAAACUGCAAAUUUUCUUUUUCUUUUUUUUCAUUUUGGCAUUUUGAGAUAGGGUUUCUCUGUGUAGCCCUGGCUGUCCUGGAACUCACUCUGUAGAUCAGGCUGUUCUCAAACUCAGAGAUUUAUUUAAGUGUGUAAAUGUAUACAGGUGACUGAAGAAUCCAGAAGAGAACAUUGGAUACUCGGUAGGUGGGAGUAACAGGAGAUUAUGAGCCACCAGGUAUGGGUACUGGGAAUCUUAUUGUGCUUCUUUUAUUUCAUUGUAUAUGUAUGAAUGCAUAUAAGUGUACCACAUCCAUGCAUCAGAUGCCCUGGAACUGGAGUUGCAGAUGCUUGUGAGCCACCAUGGGGUGCUGGGAAUUAAACCCAGGUCCUCUGCAAAAGCAAAACAUGUUCCUGACCACUGAGCAAUCUCUCCAGCCUCAUGGGUACUGGGAAUCUUACUCUAGUCCUCUGCAAGAGCAGAAAGUACUCUUACCCACUGAGAUAUCUCUCCAGUCCACCAGCCUAUUCUUUCUGAUGUUUUGCCAGAUUUCAGCAAUUAAAUGUGACACAUUCACCAUUGCUAUAACAAUGUUCUGUCUCCUUUUGCUACACAAGAUGGUUCACCAUUCAUGCCAGAAUACUUCAAUCCAGAAUUUUGUUUUUCAAAAUUUUUUUCUAGCCACAAAUUAAAUGUCAAGUUUUCUUCUUCCUUCUUCUUGUACUUUUUGUCAUAUGUAAAUGGCUCUCUUUUUGGCAUAGGAACCAAAUCCAUUAUGUAUGACUAUCUGAUGGUGUGAUGUCAGCAUGAACAUCUCACUUCUGAAUUUUCGAGUGAGAAUUUUUAGAGGCAUAAUAACUGCUGUAGCAUUGCAUGCAUUUUGAGAGAUCAAUGGGCAAGUCGAGCUUCAUAAGCAGGCAAAUCCAGUCUGGUCACUGAUCUGGAGCCUUUGACGAGGGGACUAGCUUUAAUAACAGGUAAAUACUUACAUCUUUGUAGGGGAUACCCUAGUCACUCCCACUUGGGGCUAGAAACAGGUGGGCCUGGUCACGCCCACUUGGGCGUGGUCAGGGUGAUAUGAAGAAGGUUUAAGAGUUAGGGACAUGCAUGUGGGGUCUCUUCUACUUACCUUGCUCCCUGCCGCCUGAUAGGCAGAUUUGUGAGUACCAUUUCUUAAUAAAUAUCUGCUAUCUAUCUAGUCUGACUCCACAAUUAAUUCCCGUCAGAUCUGGUGUCAGGAGUGGAAUUCCAAACAGACUCAGGUCUCAGAAUUCAAAUAGGGAAUGUCUGUAGGAAAUUCUUUAGGGGUUGUAGAAUAUUGAGAAUCUUCUCAGUUCACUCUAACUAGAAAUCUCAUGAGUACACCGUUGGCAUGAAUGGAAAGAGCUUCCCUUUUGGAAGGGAAGAUGUGGAGAAGAGUUUCCAUUUAUUGAUAUAUUGACUUAACUUAUUAUGUUUCUAGGAAUUGAAUCUUGGACCUCGUGCAUGUUAGGCAGAUGCUUUACCACUGAGUUCCAUACCCAGCAUGUGCCUGGAACUUGCUAUGUAGACGAGGCUAGCCUCAAAUUCUUAGAGAUCUUCCUAGUACUCUGUCUCCUGAGGAGUAAUUGGAGGCAUGUACCACCUUGCCUAGAUCUUAUUCUAUUUUUGUUAUUGUGGGUUAAUAUUUAUUCAAUUCACUUAUCCAAUAGGAAUUUCAAAAAUAUCUGAAUUCUUUAAUCUAAAUGUUAAUAAACAAGCUUAAUUCAUGUAUCUCACAGAGUAAUAAAAUGAUUAGGAACGAGGUAUGUAGCUCUGUGGUAGAGUGCAUGCUUAGCAUGUACAAGGUCCUAAGUUCAGUCUUCAGCACCACAUAAACCAUGGGUCACAGUGCAAACCUGUAACUCCAGCCUUCUGGAGACAGAAACAGAAGGAUUUAGUCAUUAGUGCUGGCUAGUCUUGUUUCAACCUGACACACAAACUAGAGUUCUCUGAAGGGAGUAAAUGUUAAUUGAGAAAAUGAUUCCAUAAGAUGCAACUGUAAGGCAUUUUCUUAGUUAUUGAUGGGGGAAGGUCCAGCCCACGUGAGCGGUUCUAUCCCUAGCUAGUGGUCCUGGGUUCUAUAAGAAAGCAGGCUGAGGAAGCCAUGGGGAACAAGCCAUUGAGCAGCACUCCUCCAUGCUCUCUGCCUCCAGCCUCCUGCCCCAUUUGAGUUCCUGUCCUGACUUCCUUCAAUGAUGAACAUUGACCUGAAAGUGUAAGACAAAUAAAC